rnacentral:lncRNA from 1 species
AAGAUCAGUAGUUUCUGGUUAGGGUUUUCUACUUCAGGAACGGGGGGUUGGAAGGGAAUCGGUGGCUAUUUUACAGCACGCUCCCAGUAUUUCAUCAAACACGAACAUAGGGGCUGCUCUGAAUAUUACAGCUGUGAUCAGCUGUAAUGAGUGAGCUAAUCACUCACCUUCAAGUUGAUUAAAAAGGAGAUUAUCAUGGAUGGGUCUGACCCAUCAGUUGGAAGACCUUCAACAGAGGGUCCAGGCUUUCCUGGGGGUUAAAGAUUGAGUCUCUUCAGGUCAUGCCUCUGGGGAUUCAUGUGCUCAUGAUCUGCCUUUCCUUUCUGCCCUAAGGAGGACUGUGGACCUGCUUAGCCAGCCUUCACAACUGCGUAAAAAAAAAAAAUUCUUGUGAUAAAUCUAUCAUCUAUCUAUCUAUCAUCUAUCUAUCUAUCUAUCUAUCUAUCUAUCUAUCUAUCAUCUAUCAUCUGUCUAUCUCUCAUUCCUUUUAUUGGUUCUGCUUCUCUUGUGGAUCCUAACUGAUAUACUCUGUGAGCCUUGGUGUGAUUAAUGACAUGAGGGAACUUAAUGUCUCAUACCAGGCUUGCUUUUCGAGUGACGUAAGAAAGUGCAUGGAAAGCCCAGGACCUGCAAAGUUGUCAACUCUAUUUUGGACACUAUCUCUGCUCCUUCCAUCUGAUCCUGGACAUUUACUCACAGGGUGCCAAUAAGUCUCCAGUUUUGGUGGCACUUCGGCCUUCUCCAGAGUACUGGCCCCGUUCUGUGGACACCUGAGCACGGGCCCCCAGUGGGGAGCUGUGUUCUCUCUCAGCCCAUAGCCGACAGCCUCCUGCUUUUCUCCUGCCUCAUCUCGCUUCUCGUCUUGCUGCAUAAGAGGCUCUCACCGGGAGUCUACCUACUGCUGCUGCUGAUUGAAAUUUGUAAUUACAAAGAUUAUUCUUUUGGCAUCUUAAAUGUGGGCUUAAGGCUGCAGUCCUCACCAGUCAGGACUUGCUCAUCAAUUUCUCCUCCAUCUACAUGAUUUUUCUCUUUACAAAAAUAAAACCGGCUCUGAUCCACCACCCCCCUUUCCAUGAAAAUACAAGCUGUUGUCCAUUUUGUACAAAGAUAUUGCCAUUGACAGAGAUAUUUCCUGGGCUUGCUGUAGUGUGAACUCUUAUCUGGCUUUAUUUUUGCCUCAGUGGUAGCUUAUAUCAUACGCCUAUACCCUGGCUCUUAAGUCCUGUGGAUAGGGAGCAGAUGAGUAAAGGAACACACUCCAGAAAAAAGGAAUGUAAAGGGGUUCAAUUGACUUUGAGAAAGCUGUGGCUGUGGUUGCCUCUUCUAGUGACAGUGCUCACUGGGGUGUGUCUGUCAGGGCAAGGGCUCCCUCUCAGCUGAAAGGCCCAUUCUCUUUGCCCCAAGAAAGGGAAUUCCUAAAAAGUAGGUGAGAACAAUGACAGUAAAAACACCCUGUCAUGUAGAACGCACAUGCGUUGGCCAGGCCAAGCUCCAUUUGGGUCUUCUCUACUACUCCCUUCUUUAUGUAACAGAGUCCUGGGUCCCUCUGUUUUCCUGAGGCCCAACAUGUUCCUAACAGAUCAGAAUUCCCUCCAAGAUCCCUAAUUGGCAGUUAUUUCCUGGCAGGGAACCUAAGCAGAAAAUGGUGUCCAACAUGUUCUCCAUCAUGACAAUGUGAAUGCUUAGACAGAUUGGUGUUUGAGGCGUGUUCUCAUUAGGUACAACCUUCAUUAAGAGUAAUUAAAACUUGGCAAAUAUUCUUUUUGGAUGAUUAAUAGGCCAUCUCCACUUCUUCUUUUGGGAGGUCAGUUGCCAGUUACCAAAAAUGAAACACCUGCCUUUACAUCAAUGUGGCUGCUGCCCGAAAUUUAGCAGCAUGCAGCAUUCCCAAAGCUGUUAAAUAUACCCAUCGUGCCAAAAAUAAUGGGGCCUUAGGUUUACCUAAGUCCUGAAUAAAUAUGGUGGAUUUGGGGACACAAAUCUGAUUAAAAACUUCUCCCCAGGCCAACAUGAAAAACUAAAUUAGCUUACUUAGUUAGGUAUAUGUAAUUUAUAAAGAAUAUAAAAUUGGAUGGCAAUGAAUGUUCAUUUUGGUGGUAUAAAACAUGUCUAAGAGUCUUUCAAUUUGAAUUCUAAUUAAUGCAAUUAAUAUUUUCCAUGCUCAGUUUCAGGGGAUACCUAUUCCCCAUGACCAAGUGAGCAUUAUGUAUGAAGUUCACCACCGAAGCGCUUUAGGAAGAGAUUGUUGAUUAGACUAGGAGGUGAAAUGAUGAAGUUCUAAGGCAGGAAACUCUGCUUAACACUUUAUGACUGUUGUUUGUAGAUGAUGGAUCUGUUAAGGAAGGACAUUUUAUUACUGGAGCAUCUUAUUCAGUGUGGGGUCCACAGGGGUUCCAGUUCUUUCAGUUGACUCCUACUGUCCCCUCUGGGCCAGACCUCAUCACAACCAUCACUGCUCUCCACCUUCAGAAGUCUGCAAAGGACACGCAUUAUCUUUAGUUUCUAUGCAGAUGAGGAUACAGAGGCUCCAAGGUUUCCAGCGACCUGCCCAAGUCAGAGCGGAUCACCUGCACCCCCGUCAGCUGGAAGGGGGGACAGGCUCUGGCCUGGAGGGGCCUCCCUCCCCUGCCUGAGUCACAAGCCCACACCCUCCACUGGCAUCCUGCUCCUGCGGUGGCAGAGCCCUGAAAAGGAUUUCCUCUCUCUGGACUCCCA